UAGCUUUUUGAUUCAUAUACUUCAAAAAAACAUCAAGGAUGAAAUUCUUUUUGAAUUUAAUGUAAUAAUCUCUCUCUCUCUCUCUCUCUCUCUCUCAAUAUUAAUCCCCACUCCAUCUCUCUUAUGGUCACACAGACACCCUAAUAAUCUUUAUUAGCUUCAAUUGGAAAGUGCUCAAAGUUUGGAACGGUCGACACAAAUGAUGUUGCAACGAUAGUGCCCUCUCAUCCCCUUUGCAUUAUUCAAAUCUUGUAGAUUUGAGCCUCUCACUCUUAGGUUCGUAUAUAUCGAAAGAGAAUUUUUCCUUCCAGAUUUAAGGCAAAAAAUUUCACCGCUGGUAUGUUCUGAUAUAACCUUCUAAACCUACGACAUUGUUUGGCUAGGAAAAGCGGUCAUCUUCAUCCUAUCUGAUCACAUGUUCAUCAUUCCUCAUCGGUUCCUCUAUUUACAUUUGAAGUCCAUCAACAAGAACAUGAGAUGUAUCAAGGUCUGAAACUAAUCAAGGGAAGCUCAAGUUUUAGCAUAACCGGCAUAAUCUCGUAAUUCAACACUUAAUAUCAUUUUUAGACAAUAUGUGUUAAAUGAAAAUACAAGUGUAAUCAUAUCUUAUUAAUCUAAUAAAAUUUUAUAAAUCUU